ensembl:lncRNA
CUUCCACCCCGCCCGCCACCCACACUCCGCUUCGCAGCUGGGCCCCGAGCGAGCUCCACGCCGCCGGCCGGGAGUCCGGGGCUCACGGGUUCAAAGGGCCGCGGCCCCGAGGGGAUGCCCUCCUCGCUGUGCCCCGGGGGGCAGAAGCGGACCGCAGGGCUGUGGGACCGGCCCGGGCCACGAUUGUAUUAUACUCUUUUGUCCCCAAAUGAAAAUGGAGGCUCCAGCCAUACUUCCAACAAUGGCUUUUUGGAUGUCUUGUUCAGAAGUUCAUAUGACUUUUGAUACAUGGGUUGUAGCAAAAAGUGAAAUUUUAGAGAAUACAUUACAAUUUUAAGAAAAAAAAAGUUUAAAAAGUGGAGCAGAUUCCAUAAAAAAAGAAGCUAAUUUUAAACUGAGAUGCCUUUAUCCAGGGGUUUGUCACGGAUCUUCCACAUGAUAACCUCAGAAUUAACAUCAACUCACUCCAGUACUCUUGCCUGGAAAAUCCCAUGGAUGGAGGAGCCUGGUAGGCUGCAGUCCAUGGGGUCGAUAAGAGUCGGGCACGACUGAGCGACUUCACUUUCACUUUCACUUUGCUAACAGUUCUAGUGCGUGUAUAACUUCUGACUAAACUCUAUGCUCUAUCGGGAGAAAGAAAGUCAUGCUUGCUAACUGUUUCAAACUUGGCAGAUUUACUCUGAGAGUACUAGUCAAGCAAAUCAGAUUCAAAAACAAAAGCAUCAUGUCGUAUUUAUAGUAUCACAAAAAUGUUUUUAUGACAAAUAUUUUAGGAAUAUCUGUGAUUAUUUCCUAGGAUAGUUUUUUUCUUUUUCAUAGUUUAAUUUUUUGUCCCUGUCAACAAACAUUUGUCAUAUUAGAUCAGGUCAUUUGAGCUUUAUUUUGACGUUUCUUCUAAGACAUGUGAGCAUGGGCAAACAGUUUUUAAUUAUCCUGAUCAAGUGUGGGGGACACCUUUUUGCUGACCCCACUUGUAAUCAACUGUGAUCUUCUAGAAGCAGGAGAAUUGAUUGCUUUUAUCUUCCCCAACUAGUCAGAAGAGUGGGUCAUAUAUUAUUCUACCCUUUGGAAAAAUGCAACCCAGUGAUUGAUUUUAUGACUGCUGCUGGCAGCAAAUUCCUCAGAAUGAAUUCUACCAGGUGAAGAAGUAUUUCCUCUAACUUGCUUUAAAUUUCCUUAGCAUUAACUUCUCCGAGUGGCCCAGUCUCUUAUGGGACAAUGUAAUAAGGAUCUAUCAGUUUUACUGCGCAGUACCUAUCUUUAAUGCCUAAGUAAAUCUCUCUUAUUUUCUAGCCCUGACUCUGUAAUUUUAACUUUCGAAAUCUCUCGUCAUGAGUGAGUCUACCCUGCACUCAAUUUCUUGUCCUGCUCUGGAGCUCUGCCAUCCCUGAACCACAUACUUGCAGGUGAGAAAUAGAGACAGUAACACAGAUGAAGAUGUAUUAUUCUCCUCCAUAAUGCUGUGGUGCUGCGCUCUUUCAUAUCUAUCUUCUCUGCACACAAAAAGGGGAAAUUCAUGGAAGACAACAAAAAGUUGCUUUAAAAAAUUUUUAUCUAGUUCAUAUCCAAAUACAGUGCAGUAUUCUCUUUUAUAACAUUAUACACCCUGGGAUUUUUUUUUAUCCUAAAAAAAAUGAUCUAACGGGGCUUCGACACAUCUUUGUUCUAAUUUCUGCAUCCCAUGGAGGGGAGUGGUUAAGCCCUUCUUUUUAUUUAAAACACUAGGCAUCUAUUUCUUUAAAUAAAUGGAGAUCUCAAGUAUUAGUUACUCGUGAAAUCAAAUGAUAAUACAAUAUCUAACUACUCAAGCUCCACAUUUUUCUCUAGAUUUUUGCCAGGAUACACCUCAUCUCCACCCGCACCCCCAAAUAAUAUUAUUUCUAGUGUCUCAGUUUUAUAACGCCACUGUCAAGUUGGACUUAUCUGAUAGCAAGAAAACUUGUGUAAGACUUUCAAACCUUAAGUGAAAAAACUGUAUCUUAACAAAACAUAUUUUGUCAUUUAUUUACUGAGGUAUAUAUGAGAGAGACAAGAUGCUUUGUGCUCGUUGAAUAAAUUGGCUUUGAAAUUGUUCAUUUAAAUCAUGGAGGCAGGACCCAGAAAGACCAAAAAAAAAAAAAAAAAAAAACCCACACCAAAUUGGAGUACAUACUGAGGCAAGGAUGAUUUUAAUUUUGCUUCACUGAAUGGUGUUUCCAUGAGGAGGCUAUGACAGAGGAGGAAGAGGAAAAAGAGAAGGGGAGAGGCCAUGAGAAGGAGGUUUGACGAACCAGGAGUGCCUCUGCAGUGAUGCAGUUUUGCCCUUUCUCUCACGGUCUCCCCCCUCCUUUCUUCCUUCCUUCCUUUGUCUGUCUCUCUCUUCCUAUUUUUUCCCUCUUUUAUUUCCAUCGAAGAUUACUGAGCACCUACCACAUGUACGCAUGGUGCUGGGUUCUGGGAUACAAGAGUAAAACAGAAAUAGCGUCUAAACUCAGAGGGGGAAAACUGCAGUCAAGAAGCAGUUGCAUGAAGUGCCUGAGAAGUCAUCGUCCAGGAAUCGGGAGCAUGGGUAAAGAGCUUUCCGAGAUGUGAAGACCUCCUGUGGGGAGCUGUGUUCAAACUGAUGCUCAAGGGACGCGCAGAAGCUAGCCAGAAGAAGACGGAGUUAGGAAGAGAAAAGGUCAUCGGUGAAACAGACGGAGCUCGUGGCAGACAAGCUGAGAGAAGUCCAGGGCACUCCUUUCAGCAUCAGGCAAAUACAGCUGAGAGACACCACAGAAAACACCUUUCCAGAUAGAAAAGUAUCCAUAACUGGGGUCGUUGAGUCAAAAUAGCAAUGAUGACAACAACAGUGCGGUAAGGACCUAGACUGAGCCCUCGCUAUGCAUCAGAGACCUUGCCACGCAGCCACGCACGCACUGUGAUUUUCUGUGAUCCUUACAGCAGCUGGAGGAGGACUAAUGGGCUAAACAGAUUUAAUGCUUGGCUGUCAGCAUCCCUGUGGAAGACUCCAGCAGACUCACAUGUCCUACGGUUCAACUUUUCAAACCUACCUCUGUGUAAUUCCUAAGUAGGAGUCUGAGCUCUGUUGUCAUAUUUCAGUUUUACAGUUACUCUGAAAUAUUUUGAUCCAAAUAUGCCCUUAGUGUCAUGCUUUAUUAAUGCGAUGUGACUCAUAUUAGUGACUGCUUGCUCUUGAGCCAUAUGCCCUGAAUAAGUUAUCGGGUUUCAUUGUUUACCCUAAGUUUAAAAAAAAAUUCCAUGUGCUCCGACCUCCUGACACCUAAACCCAGCUCAUGCAGUUAAAACAGGAAAACUAGUUAUCUGAUAUCACUAAGGCAAAUCAGCUUGUAGAGCCGUCAAAUGUUUCCAUUUCCACUGGUGGGAGGGCAUUGUGGGCGCCAUGGAUUAUUCAUCAAGAAAGCACAGGAGAGAAUUUCUUUUCUGUUUGUUUGUUGAUUUCCAAAGUAAACCCAAGUAUGAAGAGAUACAGCUAUGGUGCCUUUAUUUUUCAUUGUUAGCACAUAUCAUUAUGUCAUCCUGGAAGAACUGCCCAAAAAAAGAGAAAAAAGAAAUUACCACGUGGAUUGCUUAACGGCCCUCCUCCUGCCUGCCUGCAGAAUUGUCUGAGAAAGGAAAAUACGCACGCAUUAGUCAGGCCCUCGGGGUUACAAGGCUUCUCACCACCAGCAGUGCCAGGUUAGCCUGGGAGUCUGCGGAGCAGGCUUUGGCAGGCCACCAGAGACAGGGCAUUUCAUAAUCAAGAACUUACCCGGGAGGGUUCUGAGCCAACAAGACAGUGUUGGGAGUCAAGGGCUAAGGAAGAAUGAGCGGAUUUAUUCUGUGGACCAAAACCUCUGCACUUAAAGACAUUUCCUUUCUAGUUUUGAUUGCCUUUUAUUUUAGCUGCUGCACAUUUUUUUUUCCCCUCGCCAGAUUUCACAAUAUAUCAACUGUUCUGUCUUUGGUGUACCUGACUGAAGUGUUACACAAAUCCGUCACUAAAGGAUAUACUGGCUAUACGCUGGGUGGUGGUGGUAGUGAUGGAAACACUUUCCUAAUAAGAUAUAGGAAUAAUGAACAUUUAUUGAGCACUUUUACCAAGUGAUACUAAGACAUGCAUGAGAUAGCUCAGGUAAUCCUCUGAACCCUAGCAUUUGGGUACUAUUACCAAGUUAAUUUCAGUUGAGGUAACAGAAGCAUGGAAAGGUUAAGUAACUUACCUGAAGUCACAGAGCAAGUAAGUCACAAAGGCAAGACAUGAAGCCCUGUAGCUUGAUGAAGUUCAUGGUCUUAGGAGAGACUCUUUGUUCCUCCAAAUGGUCCUAGCUCUUGCCUUGGGGUCCACCAGGAGCUGUUGGCAGUGCCUAGGUCCCCAUGUUUGCUUAAGGACCUAUAAUGUAAUAGGACCUAACUAAUAGGUCAUUUAAAACUACAAGAGAUGCGUUGGGUUGAAAGACAGUUUGGCAAUUUCUUAUAAAACUAAACACACUCUUCCCAUAUUAUCUAGCAAUGAUAUUUAUUCACAUGAGUUGAAGAUUUAUGUCCACAUCAAACUUUGCAUAUGAGCGUAUAUAGCAGCUUUAUUCAUAAUUGGCAAGACUUAGUACUUUUCCAGUUGUCCUUCAGUAAGUGACUGGAUAAACAAACCAUGGCACAACCAGAGAGUGGAAUGUCAUUCGACAAUAAAAAGAAAUGAGCUCGUAGACAGACAUGGAGGAGACUUACAUGUACUGUAUAUAAUUCCAACUAUAUGACAUUCUGGAAAAGGCAAAACUAUAGAGCAGUAAAAACCCCAGAUGUUCCAAGAGGCUCCAUGGGGAGAGAAGGAUG